ACCAGACUCCUACGGGAGGCAGCAGUGGGGAAUAUUGCACAAUGGGCGAAAGCCUGAUGCAGCAACGCCGCGUGAAGGAAGAAGGGUUUCGGCUCGUAAACUUCUAUCAACAGGGACGAAAGAAAUGACGGUACCUGAAUAAGAAGCCCCGGCUAACUACGUGCCAGCAGCCGCGGUAAUACGGAGGAUGCGAGCGUUAUCCGGAUUUAUUGGGUUUAAAGGGUGGGUAGGCGGACCGGAAGGUCAGCGGUAAAGGCCGGGGGCUCACCCCCGGCGAGCCGUUGAAACUGUCGGACUAGAGACGGCGAGAAGUACGCGGAAUGCGCGGUGUAGCGGUGAAAUGCAUAGAUAUCGCGCAGAACGCCGAUUGCGAAGGCAGCGUACCGGCGCCGGACUGACGCUGAGGCACGAAAGCGUGGGUAUCGAACAGGAUUAGAUACCCGUGUACA
rnacentral:rRNA from 1 species